UAAAAAAGAUGCCAAGCCACUCGACCGCGCGUCUACGAUCUUGAAUUUAUGCAUGAAUUUCUUAAUAGUUUUCUUAAUUCAACGACAUUUUAUUCGUUUUAGGAGACAUCAAUGGGCCUAGAAUUGUCGGAGUUUUUGUUGAGUGCCGGAGUCAGCCAACAGGUACUGGACAAACUAACAGAAGACGAGCUCAAUACAGUUGAGUUGCUUGAAGGAGUUAGUGAUGUCUUGCUGAAAGAAUUGGGUAUCAAAGGAGGGCAGAUUGUGAAAUUAAGGAUUGCUAUCCAAAAAUAUAAAAAUCAGGUUGAUCCUGGAAGCUGCUAUGAUGCAGAGAACU